UACAGAGGGUGCAAGCGUUCUUCGGAAUUACUGGGCGUAAAGCGCGCGUAGGGGGUGAGAUAAGUUGGUUGUGAAAGCCCCGGGCUCAACCUGGGAACUGCAUCCAAAACUGGCCGACUAGAGUACAGUAGAGGGUGGUGGAGUUUCCUGUGUAGCGGUGAAAUGCGUAGAUAUAGGAAGGAACACCAGUGGCGAAGGCGACCACCUGGACUGAUACUGACACUGAGGUGCGAAAGCGUGGGGAGCAAACAGG
rnacentral:misc_RNA from 1 species